GGGGGUGGAGGGAACACAAAGCCCGCUGCGCCCGAGGGGAAAAUAGCAACAAGAUUACGGCUGCUUUAUUCUGGCGAGGAGGCGUAAGAAGGUGCUAAUCCAAGGGAUGGCUAAUUGAGAGCUUGUAAAUAUGAUAUUUGCCUGCGAUUUGGGACAAAGUGGUUUCUCUCUUUCCUCCCUUUUCACGCCCCGUGGACGAGAGUGAACAAAAAAAAAAAAAANNNNNNNNNNNNNNNAAAAAAAAAAAAAAAAAAUCGCUUAUUUGCUAGAGAGGGAGUGCAACAGGAAAAAAAAAACCCACACAACAACAAAAAACAAGCAAGAAAAAAAAAAAAGAAGCGAAUCCCACGGACACGACUGACUUCACUCCAGAAAAAGGACUAGAUCCCAGCUUUUUAAAUCCCUUUGGAGCCUCCGAGAUUUGUGCGAGCUUACAAACCGCAGCCUCUUUCUCUCGCCCGCAGGAUGCGUGGGGCGGGACGCCCGGGCUCGGCCACCGGCAACUAGGAGAGGACUCGCCCGGGAAGGGGGACAGCAGCGGGACACCGGAAUUCAAGAUCACACAACCAGCAGCUUCAGUGGAGAAAAACUAUUUUGCUGGCAACUCUUUUUAA
rnacentral:lncRNA from 1 species